UACGUAGGUGGCAAGCGUUGUCCGGAAUUAUUGGGCGUAAAGCGCGCGCAGGCGGCCUUGUAAGUCUGUCGUUUAAACUCGGAGCUCAACUUCGAGUCGCGAUGGAAACUGCAAAGCUUGAGUGCAGAAGAGGAAAGUGGAAUUCCACGUGUAGCGGUGAAAUGCGUAGAGAUGUGGAGGAACACCAGUGGCGAAAGGCGACUUUCUGGGCUGUAACUGACGCUGAGGCGCGAAAGCGUGGGGAGCAAACAGG
rnacentral:rRNA from 1 species